CGGGGAUCAAACUCGGGACCUUGCACUUGCGCGGCAGGCACUAGAACCACUGAGCUAAAUCCCCGGCCCUAGUUUGAUAUUCUAUUUGUUAGUUGAUGAGGAAAAAUGUAAAUAGUUUGAAUGACCCGGAAUUUAUCACUUUGUGAAAUUUUUUCAUUUACUUAUGUUUAUCCUUUCCUACAUCUGUUGGCAGGUUUUUAUGAAGCCUUAGCUUUCACCCACCCCUUUCACAAUACUGUUUUUGAAAUAAAUACCAGGACAAAACAAGUAGAAUUUCACUUUCAGAUGAUAUUUUCUUUCUGCCUCUCUUCAAUCAGUGGUUUGCUGGUUUGUUAACAUUGUCUUCUCGUGGGAUAAAAGUGAAUGUGGGUCUCAGGCAAUCACUUGAAGGCCUUGAUUAAAACUGACUGACCUCCUGGAAGAAGAGGGAAUUCUGGCAGCAAACUGCCUUUGGACUUGAAUCGUGGCUCUGGCCUGAGUCUCCAGCCUAUUGUCCCACCCUGCAAGUUUUGAACUGGCCAACGCUCCACAAUUUAAGCAGUUAAUCAGCCCACUCUCUUUCUUCACAUCCUGUUAUCUUGGUUUCUCUGGAGAACCAUUACAAACACACAUAUAAACAGAAAAUCAUUUGGUUAAGAACCUCUUUUUACUACAAAAAAUGUUUAAUUUCACCUUUUUAAAUAAAAUUGUUUAAGAGAUCUUCUCAUUUCUUUUUGUUGUGUCAGUGUUGAUUUACAUAUAAUAAAGUUCACCAAUUUUGUGUCCAAUUGGAUGAAUCUGACAAUUUUAUACAAUAGCACAACCCACAAACAUCCACAUAUAGAACUUUUCUCCAAUAUCAAAAUAUCUAGCUAUUUAUUUGCAGCCAAUUCACUGCCCUAAACUCCUGGCUAUGGGCAAACACUGAUUUGCUGAGUAUCAUUACAGUUUUGCUUUUCUCAAAUUUAACCAAAAGGAAAAUGAACUCAUAGUAUUUGUGUUUGUCUUUUCUCACUUAGUUUGAGAUUUACUGAUGCUGUUGCAAGUAUCUGUG
rnacentral:lncRNA from 1 species